UACGGAGGAUGCAAGCGUUAUCCGGAAUUAUUGGGCGUAAAGCGUCCGCAGGUGGUUUAUCAAGUCUGCUGUCAAAGCGCGAGGCUUAACUUCGUAAAGGCAGUGGAAACUGAUAGACUGGAGUGCGGUAGGGGCAGAGGGAAUUCCCAGUGUAGCGGUGAAAUGCGUAGAUAUCAGGAAGAACACCCGUGGCGAAAGCGGCUCUCUGGGACGGUACUGACGCUGAGACGCGAAAGCGUGGGGAGCGAACAGG
rnacentral:rRNA from 1 species